UACGGAGGGUGCAAGCGUUAUCCGGAUUCACUGGGUUUAAAGGGUGCGUAGGCGGGUUGUUAAGUCAGUGGUGAAAUCUCAGAGCUUAACUCUGAAACUGCCAUUGAUACUAAUGAUCUUGAAUAUUGUGGAGGUAAGCGGAAUAUGUCAUGUAGCGGUGAAAUGCUUAGAUAUGACAUAGAACACCCAUUGCGAAGGCAGCUUACUACGCAUAUAUUGACGCUGAUGCACGAAAGCGUGGGGAGCAAACAGG
rnacentral:rRNA from 1 species